CGUCCAAAGAUGGUCAAGAAAAAUUCCUUAAGCCUUGCCUUGGCGUUGCUGAAUGAGGUGGGCUUAGGCCAAGGACACCGGGACUGUCAACUAAGUGACUUCAGCGUCCCACCUGCAGACAUGAGGGCACGGGGCCAGCUACCCACCUGUGCGUCAUUCCACAGGCGUGGAACCUGGGGGAUGUUCCAGUGAGGAGAGAGACCAAUCCCACUGCGCACCACGUGUCUUAUGCCGGCAGAAAAGAACUUGGGGUGAGACUCGCCAACACAAACCCAAGACCGCUUCACAUAUUCUCUGCCGAGGACCUUGGGCUCACUCAGUUCCUGGAUUCCAUGCACCUCGUUCACCCGGAGCUGAGACCACGGGAAGCCUCCUCCUUGGGUGCACACAGGGUGUCCGUACAGCUGGUUUCCACAGUCACAGGCUUGUCCACACGCUUCCUGGUGGAGAAGAUGGCGCGCGAGUGGAGUUACUUUUCUAGCUCCCUUCAGCAUCAUUUUUUUUAGCAUCAUGGUUUUUUGAACACUGAGUUGCCUCCUCUGUAGAUUCCAGAUGCACAUGACGUAGAGAGGCAGUGACGUCCCCAGGCCUGGCUGACCCUGCCUUGAGAAGGCACAGAAUGGUGUGAACACCCUGGAAAGUACAGGGUGGUUUCCACAGGGUCCCCUGAAAGGCCUCCCCAGUCAGAAAUGUCUUCCUCCCAGGACCCACGACUCCCUCAUGAGCUCCCCAUUCAGUGGGGACCCUGUCAGGCUUUUGCGACGCUUUCCUGAAAUGCAGACAUUCCUGUAGGGGCACCGCACAGGGCUCGCCACCUCCCUGACGCUCCCCUGCCUCUGGGGGCCUUCCAGGCCUCUGCCCACUUCCUCUGGAUCGCUGGACUCCCAGGAGGACAGGACACACCUGGCUAAUGGGGUGGCCCCAGCUGGAGGGGGGUCACUGCUGUCCCCUCUUCACCCAGAGCUCCCCAGGGGCACGGUGUGCGUGUGUGAAGAGUUAGGGGAGGCAGCUGGAAAGAAAAUGUUUAAAAGAGGAACAGGGCGGGGAGAGACAAGCCCCCCUGACUCCUUCUCUGUGAGUGGGACGAGGCUCUGAAACGGCUCACUGUACAAAGCCAACCAGAUCCCAAGCCUGCCUGCUUUUUAUAGCACAGCAGCCCCUGGUUCCAAAUUAGCAGCCUUAAUCUCCCGCCACCGCUCUGCUCCCCGGGAGGACUAAGCCGCUGGGGAGGCCCCUCCUGGGCUGCCAUCAUGACAGCGGGCCCCAGGAGAGGCCAAGGCCGGACGGCAGGAACAUCUAUUAAGUACCCACUAUGUGCCAACUACGGGCACGAUGAGGCGUAUCUGCCUGGAGACCCAAAGUGCUGAUAACACAUAUCUGGUUUUUGACUGUGUCUGAGAGCAGUGGCAGCGGCUGGGAUCCUUUAUGGGAAAACCAUCAAAUCACAGUCUCCGAAGCAGCCAGAUGGCCGACACAGACUUGCCGCGCAAUAGGAGUUGAUCAUAAGCUGCGUUUUCAUCAAAGUAAUUUCAAGGUCUUUAGAACUGCUAACGGCCUCCCGGGGACGGCUGCUUCACCUGUCUGAGCAGCGUUUGCGUGGCGUCCACGCAGCCAGCGAUGGGCAGAUGCAGAAGGGAGCCUGGCGCCACAGGAUCGUUGCUAUUGGUAACCAGGACAGGUGAAGCUAGAGGCUCGAGGUUGGCUCCCUUGCCUGGGAAGAGAGAGGCCGGGAAAGCCAGCCCGCCCGCCCUGAGACGCCACCCACGGAGAGUAAGGCUCUGCUCCUCUCAUCCCAGCCCUGCCCUGCAGGAGUGGUGACAGGGGAGCGUCCUCCUGGGGUUGUCCUCACUCCAGUGGGUUCUCCACCCCUCUCAAGUGUCCCCUUCCUGCUGUCUGGGACAGGCCUUGGAUCAAAGCCUCCCUUAGAGCCCCUGGCCGUGGACUUCAGGGCAGAGUCCUGACAUCCCACCAGGCCACCAUGUCCACCUGAUUCGCUCCCUCGAGGUAUCUCCCCCCUUCCCUGGGGCCACACUUGUCUUUCUGCACACACCUAGCACGAGUGCACACAUGUGCACACACCUGACCUGAGUGCACACACGUGCACACACCUAGCCUGAGUGCAAACACGCACACACCUAGCCUGAGUGCAAAC